AACUCGGAUGCAAGGUUCACAUCUACCUCUUUUCGUCAGUACACUCUGGACUAUAUCGGAAUCUCAUAACGAACAAGUUUUCCGUCAGCAACGACUAACAAUACAGUCAAUUUCUUUCUAGCUCCAGGAUAGUGCACAACAACAUGCCACAUUCGAACAACAACAGCAUGACCCAACGAUAAACAAUUUAGACCCAUCGAUUCCUCCAGGAUUUCAGGUUGCAAAUAUUGGCUAACAGAUUAGCUGCGAAGCCUCAAUUACAAUACAAACUAAUGGCUCAUGGGAUAAAGUAAACAACAUGGGUGGCUUCGCUUGGGCGGUUUAUACGAGUACCCUGCAUUUAUGUAAUAAUCCUGUUUUAAAGAACGUUUAUUAAAUGUUAAUUAUACUUAUUAAGUUAAUUAUGUUUCAAAAAUUCUUAUUUUAUUUGAGUUGGAGCUGAAUUAUAUUGACGUGUUGGUUAUGUAUUAUUUAUUUAUUUUAUGAGAUUAUUAUUUCUAUUAUUAUUCUAUUAUAUUUUGGAUUUGUGCAAUUAGUUAGAGCGGUGUUUCGCAAAUUUGAAAAAAAAAUCAACAAUCGGUUUCAUUUUGUUUGGUCUUAUCCUUUCCGUUUCCUUAAUUGGGAAACCAAUCCCAAAAUCUUCCUUCUUUCUCCGGUGUCUCUCAGAAAACCCCAAACCUCAAUUGAUGAAAACCCGAAACCCCUUCUCCCUUGUCCCUCUCUCUCUCACACCCGCAUCUCCCAAGCGUUAUCGCGCCGUCAGCCCUUGCUCGCCGGAGUUUUCUUUCCCCUCUAUUCGCGUCGUUGCUGUCGAUGACGUUGUUGUUGCUGCUAUCCUGUUUUUCUUUCUCUUGCCAACUUCUCUGUUCUCGCCAGUUCUCGUUGGUGGUGCUGCACAUGGUUGCUGCAAUCAUCAGGCUCGUGACGAACUACCAGGCUACUCGUGUUUUGCCGCCCUGAUGUUGUUGUUUGGUCGUUGUUGUUGGGUGUUGUUGUUGUCCUGUUCAUUCUCUGUCGUUCUCUUUUGGAGUUCUGUUGGUGUUCCGUCGUGGUGGUAUCACUUCUUCUCGCGUGCUGUUGCUACUUUGUGCGUGGAGGCCGUCGAUGCUUAGUCGUUCGUCGGUGCUCCACCAGUGGGUACAGAAGCUUCGAAAACCCCUUCAUCCCUCUGUUCUUCACUGCUAUUAAAAGAGGAUGAUUUCGAAAUGAAGUAUCAUUCGGGAUUAUGAAGGAAAUUAUGUUGGUGGAAUUGGAUUGCAUUUCAGGUUUGGUAUCAAGAGCUCGAGAAUGGAAGUGAAGCGAGAUUAUGAUGUCGUCCUAGAUUAAGGAUUGAGUUUGUAUUUAGAUAGUUGAUUUGAGAAUAGAUAUUUAUAUUUCGUUGUAUAUAAUAUUUGGGAAUAUUAGUCGAGAUAUUGGUGUAAUUGAAGUCUUAUAUAAAGGAUUUUGUUUUGUGGGCCCAGUAACCCACAAGUCUAGGAUCGUUUUAUAGGUUAUGUUUCCGCUGCGAGUAAAUAUUUAAUUUGGGGCUUAUUAAGCA